rnacentral:misc_RNA from 1 species
UUUGGUCUUGAUAAUCCUCUAGUUUGGAAUAUGAUUUUGUGAACGGUAGCAUGCAAAAGUAGUGUAAUUCCACUAGGUUUAGCAUACUCAAGUAGAUCGGCAGCCGUGUGCCGACGGCCGGCGGCAUCGAAAAUCGUGCCCCCAAUUUUAGUUCCAUUAAUAUGAUCGUACGUAAAUCCAUUGUACGGCACCACCCCUGACUCCACAAGACCGUCGCGCACGGCGGACUGCCACUGCCUCACCGGCGGCUGAAACGCCACUUUAUUUUCCACCCAAACAUACGAUUCGUUCACGAGUUGUCCGUCCCAUCCAACGCUGCUCACAUACUUUGUGCCGGCGCGUGAGUAAAAUCCGGCGUUUAAACAACUUCCGCCGCCCAAAACGCGUGCACGCGCGUUGAUUACACCGUCCUCGGAGAUGAAUCGCUGAGAUGGCGAUUUCGGUGAGAGAUCGGAAAGUGCAGAUCCGAAUGCCGAUAAAUAUGUGAUAUUAGGAUUUCCGUAAGGUGAACCACCGCGCUCUAGUAGAAGUACGUCGUAGUUCUGAGAGAGCGUGGCGGCUAAUGGGCAGCCAGCGGUGCCGCCGCCGAUGAUUAUGUAAUCGUAAUGUGAUAUCUCCGG